UACGGGGGGGGCAAGCGUUGUUCGGAAUUACUGGGCGUAAAGGGCGCGUAGGCGGUUCGCUAAGUUGAAUGUGAAAACUCUGGGCUUAACCCAGAGCCUGCAUUCAAUACUGGCGGGCUAGAGUUCUGGAGGGGAUAGCGGAAUUCCUGGUGUAGCGGUGAAAUGCGUAGAUAUCGGAAGGAACACCGGUGGCGAAAGCGGCGCGCUGGACCUCUUCUGACGCUGAGGCGCGAAAGCCAGGGGAGCGAACGGG
rnacentral:rRNA from 1 species